rnacentral:rRNA from 1 species
UACGAAGGGGGCUAGCGUUGCUCGGAAUCACUGGGCGUAAAGCGCACGUAGGCGGCUCUUUAAGUCAGGGGUGAAAUCCUGGAGCUCAACUCCAGAACUGCCUUUGAUACUGAGGGGCUUGAGUCGGAGAGGGACGUGGAAUUCCAGGUGUAGCGGUGAAAUGCGUAGAUAUCUGGAAGAACACCGGUGGCGAAGGCGACGUCCUGGACCGGCAUUGACGCUGAGGCGCGAAAGCCAGGGGAGCAAACGGG